GUGGUUGUGGCUCAGUGGUAGAGCGCUCGCCUGGCAUGUGCAAGGCCCUGGGUGCGAUCCUUAGCACCACA
rfam:Ictidomys tridecemlineatus contig016710, whole genome shotgun sequence.